ACGUGUAAGGAGCCACUGCUUAGGGACUUGACUCCGCGCAGGAUGGGUAAAAAAAUAAAGAAGGAAGUUGAACCUCCCCCGAAGGAUGUGUUUGACCCACUCACAAUUGAAAGCAAAAAGGCGGCCACUGUGGUGCUGAUGCUCAAAUCUCCGGAGGAAGACAUCUUAGCCAAAGCCUGUGAGGCCAUCUAUAAGUUUGCUUUGAAAGGUGAGGAGAAUAAAGCAACUCUCCUUGAACUUGGAGCUGUGGAACCUUUGACCAA
rnacentral:lncRNA from 1 species